AUCUCUUUCUCCUUUUCCCGUCAGCCUCUUCCUUCCUUUCCUGUUUUUGUUUCGCCGCAUAAAAAAAAUCAAAUCUUUGAAUGGCGACUUGAUCAGUUUAACACGAGGAAUACGGGGUUUCAAGUGAUUUUGAGGAGGCGUCAUGACUGGUAUUCCGAUAGCUUUUCAGAGACUCGGGAUUAGGUGGAAUUGAUGAUUUUUUCAAAUUCUUAGAACGGAGCAAGGAAUAAAAUUCGAGAUUGUUAUUGUCUUUUAAGUGAAGGUUAAAUAAUGUCAUUGAUGUUUAGUUGACAAAUUGAGAGUUUUGGAAUAAUAAGAUUCUUUCCUUUAGGUUGAUUUUUAUUUCGAGUUGAUGAAUAUUUGUUUAUACCAAGUUAAUUGGAUCAAUGUUGACUUUUUGGAUUAUAGAGAAUAUUUAUUGUUGGUUUUAUUUUCAAUGAGAUUUUUUAAUGGCCUUUUGAUGAA